AUUAACCUUAACUUUUACUGUAUAAUACUGUACUUUGAAUGUGUAAUGUAUCUAAUAAUUCAGAAGUAUUUUUUUUACCACAUUAGACAGACGACCAUAAGGCAUAGCGAGUGGUUACCGUUACUCAUGAGUAUUAGGAAUGACAAGGUGACAAGGGAUUACUGGCGUCCUGGAGGCCUUUCCAGUUUCACCAGGACAGGUGAGCGAGCAAAGACUCAGCCAGAAGCGGUGGGAUUUGCUAACAGCUGCCCGAGCGCCUCCGAAGGAGAUCUAACAACUCAAGAGCAACUGCUUCGCGAAUGAAUCCACUUCCGGAUCGGAAUCGCGACCCGCUGAGAAGAUCCAGCGAGAAACGUGCUGAUGCGUGGGUUAGGUUGCACGUCGACCUCUUUGUCGAGCUCGACGAGUACGGUUACCGGCGUCCCUAAACCUGCUCCUAGUGUUAGAGCUGAAGGCGUCUAAUGCUAAGGUAACGGAUGGACAAUUAAUAAAUUAAUGAAUGGAUCCGUAAGGACGUGUCUAGGGCGUCGACUGUGACUGGCUCCUGCGUGAUCAGGAUUUCAAUUGCAUCAACUUGACUUAAACUUCCUCAGAAUUUAACGAUUAGGAACAAUUACUUUUUUGAUACAAUAAACCAGAUUUCGCCUUCAGUAUUUAUUUAAAAAAUGGA